rnacentral:rRNA from 1 species
GACGAACGCUGGCGGCGUGCUUAACACAUGCAAGUCGAACGGAAAGGCCCUGCUUUUGUGGGGUGCUCGAGUGGCGAACGGGUGAGUAACACGUGAGUAACCUGCCCUUGACUUUGGGAUAACUUCAGGAAACUGGGUCUAAUACCGGAUAGGAGCUCCUGCUGCAUGGUGGUGGUUGGAAAGUUUCGGCGGUUGGGGAUGGACUCGCGGCUUAUCAGCUUGUUGGUGGGGUAGUGGCUUACCAAGGCUUUGACCGGUAGCCGGCCUGAGAGGGUGACCGGCCACAUUGGGACUGAGGUACGGCCCAGACUCCUACGGGAGGCAGCAGUGGGGAAUAUUGCACAGUGGGCGGAAGCCUGAUGCAGCAACGCCGCGUGCGGGAUGACGGCCUUCGGGUUGUAAACCGCUUUCGCCUGUGACGAAGCGUGAGUGACGGUAAUGGGUAAAGAAGCACCGGCUAACUACGUG